UGGGGAAUAUUGGACAAUGGGCGGAAGCCUGAUCCAGCAACGCCGCGUGAGGGAUGACGGCCUUCGGGUUGUAAACCUCUUUCAGUACCGACGAAGCGAAAGUGACGGUAGGUACAGAAGAAGGACCGGCCAACUACGUGCCAGCAGCCGCGGUAAUACGUAGGGUCCGAGCGUUGUCCGGAAUUAUUGGGCGUAAAGGGCUCGUAGGCGGUUUGUCGCGUCGGGAGUGAAAACAGCGGGCUUAACUCGUUGCUUGCUUUCGAUACGGGGCAGACUAGAGGUAUGCAGGGGAGAAUGGAAUUCCUGGUGUAGCGGUGAAAUGCGCAGAUAUCAGGAGGAACACCGGUGGCGAAGGCGGUUCUCUGGGCAUUACCUGACGCUGAGGAGCGAAAGUGUGGGGAGCGAACAGGAUUAGAUACCCUGGUAGUCCACACCGUAAACGUUGGGCGCUAGGUGUGGGGUCCUUUCCACGGAUUCCGUGCCGUAGCUAACGCAUUAAGCG
rnacentral:rRNA from 1 species